rnacentral:rRNA from 1 species
AUUGAACGCUGGCGGCAGGCCUAACACAUGCAAGUCGAACGAGUGGCGGACGGGUGAGUAAUGUCUGGGAAACUGCCUGAUGGAGGGGGAUAACUACUGGAAACGGUAGCUAAUACCGCAUACCCUCGGAUGUGCCCAGAUGGGAUGAGCUAGUAGGUGGGGUAACGGCUCACCUGGGCGACGAUACCUAGCUGGUCUGAGAGGAUGAACGGCCAAACUGGAACUGGGACACGGUCCAGACUCCUCCGGGAGGCAGCAGUGGGAAAUAUUGCACAAUGGGCGCAAGCCUGAUGCAGCCAUGCCGCUUGUAGGAAGAAGGCCUUCGGGUUGUAAAGUACUUUCAGCGGGGAGGCGUUACCCGCAGAAGAAGCACCGGCUAACUCCGUGCCAGCAGCCGCGGUAAUUC